rnacentral:rRNA from 1 species
UACGGAAGGGGCUAGCGUUGUUCGGAAUUACUGGGCGUAAAGAGCGCGUAGGCGGCUUACCAAGUUGGGGGUGGAAUCCCGGAGCGCAACUCCGGAACUGCCUUCAAAACUGGUAGGCUCGAGUCCGGAAGAGGGGCGUGGAAUUCCCAGUGUAGAGGUGAAAUUCGUAGAUAUUGGGAAGAACACCGGUGGCGAAGGCGGCGCCCUGGUCCGGUACUGACGCUGAGGCGCGAGAGCGUGGGGAGCAAACAGG